CCUCACCCACCGUGAAGUCUCUACACAUUAAUCUUCUCCACCGCAAAUCUAAACCACGGUGGCAUAUUUUCUAUUCGUCGCGGUGAAGAUCCUCCAUUGCAAAUCUUUUUAUUUGUGGUGACUUCUUGUUUUGGCGUUGUACGGUUGCAUAAGGGACGGUGAAAUGGUGUCCUUGAGGAGAGGCAAAAGGCUCCGGUGAGAUUGAAGUCGUUAAAGGAGAGAACGAGUGGAGAUCUCCAUUGGUACUCUGGCGACGGGGACGGCUGUUGCCAUUUCCUUCCCAUUUCUGCAGCAAGUAAGCUUGACAAGGUUCUCUUCUCAAUUUUUCUGUAGCAAAAGCGACGAGAGGUGAUUGACAAGAUGGAUGAUUUGUAAGAUGGUGUUGGAGUAAAUUUAGAGUCAGACAGCACUACCGCAUCCGCUGUUGCUACUAGUGAUGCACCUAUUGCAUUAGAGUUGGAGGCGGAUGUUGAGCCUGAAGCUAAUUCCAAGAAUCCGACCAACAUUUCUAAACGUAAAAGGAAGCAUACUUCUGUUGUCUGGAACCAGUUUGAAAGGCUUCCAAUGGGUGCAGAUCAGGAGCUAAAAGCCAAAUGCAAGUAGUGUGGUGUGGUGUAUAUGGCUAAUAGCAAGAAUGGGAUUGGAAGCAAGCGACGUCACAUGCAAUCAUGUGUACGUAGAGACACGCGUGACGUGGGCCAACUAUUGAUAUCACAAGACAAAGGGACUUUAGCAUUGAGUGUAAAAAGGAGUUCAACAACUUUGAAAGCCAAGAGCAAACUGUUACGCAGAAAUCAGAGUUAGAAGUUUAUUUGGAUGAGCCAAGAAUACAAGGGAGUGUUGAGUUGGAUGUUUUUGAAUUUUGAAAAGGAAAUCAGUUUCGCUAUCCGGAGCUUUCUUACAUGGCUCGUGAUAUCCUAAGUAUCCCAAUAUCUACUGUAGCAUCUGAAUCUGCCUUUAGUGUUGGAGAACGAGUAUUGGAUCAAUAUAGGAGUUCACUUAUACCUGCCGUAGUUGAGGCAUUGGUGUGUACUACGGAUUGACUAUUUGGAGAUAAAGAAAAUAACAAAUCGAUUCGUGAAGCUGUGGAUGAACUGAAGAUGUUUUUACUAUGGAUAUCAAUGAGCUCACUACUGGUUCAUCUCAAAAUUCUCACAACUUCAACACCUCAAAUGCAAUGGAAGGUUAAAGCAACUGGAAACUAAUUUUAGUUUUUAAAGCAUAGUGGGACAUUCAACCUCAAGGCUCAAAGAAGACAUUUUCCUAUAUUUAUCUUAUGUUUU